AACCAUAGAAACCUGCGGAGUACCUGCGGAGGGAUCAUUACCGAGUUUACAAACUCCCAACCCUAUGUGAACCUUACCAAUCGUUGCUUCGGCGGGCUUAGCCCCCGCGCCCUCGCCGGCGCCGGGAGAAAGGCGCCCGCCGGGGACCCCAAACCCAAUGUUUUUCAUGCAGUAUUUCUGAGUGGCAAACGCAAAAAUAAAUCAAAACUUUUAGCAAUGGAUCUCAGAUCGGAAGAGCAC
rnacentral:misc_RNA from 1 species